rnacentral:lncRNA from 10 species
GAUGGAAAACCCAGCUAGAAGAAAGAGGCUUGCCCAGUUCUCCUAAUGAUUGGAGCAGAGCUGACACGCCAAGGGCGUUUUCUUGCGGUUAUUUUAAGGAAGCCACCUGAAAUCUAAGACACUGUCCAUGUGAUCAGUGGCUUCAGUUCGAAUGUUCCUCGGGGUCAGAUCCUGGCCCGGAGCCUUUAACAUGUGACCACGGGGUUGUGUUGAGCCCACAAUUAUCCAAUUUAAAGCAAUGUAAAAGACGUAGAACCAAACUACUGAGGGUGGCACAUUCAGUCCUGGGAGAGGGACAGAGAAAACAGGUGGGGCAUUCACGGUGGUCCCUGGAGCUUCAGCCACUCCAGAGGGUUCUGGAAGGCUCCAUUGCCCACUCUCCUCUUUCCACACCCCCACCUCCACAACCUGUACUCCUCUCUGCCAGGAGCCUUGUCCUAGGCUUCAGGGUGGGAGAAGUCUCCGGUCCUGCCCCAUUCCCACGGCCUCACCCCACUGACCUCCUCACUACCUUUCCCCUCUCCAAAUCCGAAAAGGCUCUCCCAUUGCCAGGACACUGAAGAAUGGGAGACCCGCCAUACAGUCCUGUCCUCAAGGAGCCUGUGGCUCAGGGAGAGGAGAGAAGGUCAGAGCUGCGCAGAGCUGGCGGUGCUUCCCCAUGGGAUGCAAUGCUGGUAGCUUUAAACCAGCUACGGUAGAAGUAUUAACACCACAGAAGUCAAGAGAGGCCUUUUCUCUGCAGAGAGCUGAUUGUUAAACAUUGACCAGCACACGUCUGCUGACACACCUGCGGCUUCUCCUGCUGUGGGUGGUCCUGAGGGCAGUGUUAGCUGGAGCUGCCUGAGGAAGCUUCAGAGGCAGCACUGCAAUGAAUGCUGCUGCACACGCUGUUGAGCUCGUGGACACUUUCCUGCUGGGUGAGGACCCGAACGUGAAAUUGCUGGGUCAUGGAUUCAAGUGCUACACAUAUUUUUGACCACAUUACUGUGACUCAGGAAGCCCAGGAACAGAAUUCUAGGCACCAGAACCAUACAUGUUACAGCCUCUGAGCUUUAUGGCCUCUGAGCCAUUUGUCCAGCCACAUCAUUUGCAGAUGAGAUCCUGAGACUCAGGCUGGAAAAGUGACCGGGGAAAAGUCACACAAGUCAGAGGCAGAGCUGGAGUUUCCUCAUUUCCAGGCCCGUAUAGAUCAAGACGGACGUUGGUCAAACACCUCCUAGUACUCACAUGAAGAAGCUCUCCUUUCUGCUGUAGGAAUGAUCACACACCAUUCCAAUCUGGAUACCAAAUGUCAUUGUUUAUUAAAUGUGUGCAGUGUGCCAGGCAUAUUGUGUCAUAUGUUUACAUGUGUCAUAUAUUUACAUUACAUAUGAUCGCUGGUUCUUACAACAACCCUUCAAGACAGGUCAUAUCAAGCCCAUUUUUCAGACGGGAAAAAGAGCUCAGAGGGGAUGAUUAGCUUGUUCAGGUUUUCCAGUUUCCUUAGGAAGUGGCAGAGCUGGAUCUGAACUCUGCUUGUGACUACUUGGGGGAUGGAGGAGUGAACUCCUUUUUAUCAGAUCCUGGCUGCUUCGGCACCAGAAGAAUGCUUCUUCCCCCUCAGGCCCUGGGGGGUUCCUCUAAAGAAUAGAGACUCCCGGCUUUCCAUGAGACAAAAAGCAGGCAAUUCAACACGGCAAGCCCUUAAUAUACCUGCACGUUUCUCUGUAAGGACUGAUUUAGAAAGCGGACUCACAGCCACUGCACUGAUAGCAGUUUCUAUUCUAAAACCUAUGGAAAUUGUGAACACUUGCCCCCAAAAACUCUCCCAGAAACCUUUAGGACAGUGAGGCUGUGUUCAGAAACUAAUUGCACCCAUAUCUGAGGAGCUACCACAUGAACUUCAUUAUUCACAGAA